AUGGCACACCAUGUAUCCGUUGGUCAAUAUAGUAGAGUUUCAUAUAGCUUUGCACUCUAUCUUGCCUUUAUAUUGAUGUCUUUCGUGAAAACAGAAGCCUCAAGCGCUAGAUUAACCUGGUUGGGAGGUAGCGCAACCAGGCAAAUCUUCAACUUUGGCACUAGUAGUCCAUCCAGUACAAAACAGAACAAAACUCCCUCACUGAGAUUAUUCAACCUGAUGAAAGUCCUCCCACCCAACGCCAUAGAUGUGGAUCCCCCAGUGUUCUUUCCUGAUCUCGAUGAGGAAUUUGCACCCCUCACAUUCCUCGAAAGCACGUCUUCGUCAGUGGCGCAAUUAAAUUCGACCCUUGAGUGGCAUGGGAUAAACUACAGAAAACAACAAAAAGAAAUGGAAAAGGAAGAUCAAAAUAUAGGCUAUCCUCAUGCUUGCUGGGGAAUGAGACGUUUGCAGAUGAGACUGGCAAAUAGCUAA
rnacentral:rRNA from 1 species